AGGCUAUAUCUGAAAAAUAAAUGUAUUCCUGUGUUGGCAAAGCUAAAUUUUCAGCAGUAAUUACUCCAGUCUUCAGUGUCACAUGAUCCUUCAAAAAAUCACUUGUAAUGUGAUGAUUUGGUGCUCAAAAAACAUUUCACAUUAUUUGCCAUUGUUGAAACAGUUGUGCAACCAUUUAUUUCUGGAUUUUUAAUUCAUAGGAUCAUGUAAUGGCUUGAAUAUCAUUUAUUUGAAAUAGAUUAUUAUUAUUAUUUUUUUUUUUUUGUAAGAAAUGUCACUUUUGGUCAAAUUAAUGCAUACUUUCUAAAUAAAAAAAAAUCUUCUAACCCCAAAACUUUUUAUUAUAUAUGUAUACUCUAUACUGUGUGUAUACAUUAGACAGCAGACCACUUAAAACAUUAUUUCUGAUUCAUGGAUUUAUUCUACACUGCAUUUAAAUUAUAUUUUAUACUUUUAAAUUAGUAGCCUGUUUAUCCAUGAUCUGUUGAUUUCAGUAGGUUCACUUCGUCAGUCUUAGAGUGGCCAAAAAAUGAUUAAAAUGUGUUGCAGCACUGGAUUUAUUCAUUAAUUUAUGCAUCAUCUAUAAUUUAGAAUUUUAUGUUUUAAAUAUCUGCUGGUCUAAUUACAUCUUUUACUACAUCUUCACUUUUUUGUAGACUACUGCAUCCUGCCAUUUGAAGAUCUCAUUGAUGAUGCUGUCCUUUUAAAGACUGCCCUUAUUUUUGUUUUAGCAGCUUCCUGACCUUCUCCAGGCUCAGUAGUGCUGGAGCCUCCGGCAUAUUUCAUCCUCUUCCACAUCGAUUGUGACUCCACUCUCCUCUCUCCCUCUGCUGAGGGAGCACCUUUCAUCUGUACUUCUGCUGUCCAGUACACCAAAGCAGGCGACUUAAGCACACACACUGCAAGACAGUCCACUUACACUUACAGACUAUUGGAAUGGCUGCUAAACCUCAUCCACCUCUGAUGAAGAAACACAGNGAAAACAUUUUUAUAUGCUUGAACUGUUUUAUAUCUAUAGAUUUUAUUUUAGGCAAGUUGAGAUGAUUUGAGAAGGCUAAAUUGAUCAAACAUAGGCUAAGAUCAGCUCACUGUCUGCCGCUGGCCGCUUGGUCAUUGCUUUAAAAAAAAAACAACCUUAUAUUUAAUGACCAAAAAAUGCUCCAAACGUUUUUCUAAAUUAACUUAAUUAAAAAAUGAAACAAAAUAUAAUCACUUUGCCAUUACAUACAAAACUGAACUAUUUUAAUAUAGCUGAAUCAGAAGUUUAAGCUGUUAAGGGAGAAAAAAAAAUGGGCUGAAUUUCUUCAAGUGAGUGGCGGGGCAAACCGAAAGUUGAUGCCGAAAGUCCAGCACUCCUACCUUCACUGCUGCAACUAGUCUUGUUUGUAUGUGUUCCUUCGCUGGCAUUUUUCACAUUAUGUUUUUUCUCCCUUAAUAACAAAUGUGUCCAUUCUGAUGCUCGAUUUUAUCGAACUAAUGUCUGCUGAUGACUAUUGAAUUCUGCCAAAGUGCGCGCUUGUAAGUGUUUCUUAAAUGCCUAGUGUUAAUUACGUGAGUACAGGUCUGCUCGUGUCAGAAAAUAAAAUAUGAAAAACUAAAUUAUUUUACAUAAAAGCAUUAUAGCUUAUAUUUGUUUAGUACAUUUUUAAAUGAAUUUAAAAUCUAAAAUGAAUUGUAAAACUGAAAGUUAUUUUUUUUAAUUCUGUUCAGCAUGGUGGGCCGCAUUUGAAUUUGUGACGGGCCGCAUGUGGCCCGCGGUCCGUGGGUUGAGAACCACUGCUUUAAAGUAUACU
ensembl:lncRNA